rnacentral:rRNA from 1 species
AUUGAACGCUGGCGGCAUGCCUUACACAUGCAAGUCGAACGGUAACAGGUCUUCGGAUGCUGACGAGUGGCGAACGGGUGAGUAAUACAUCGGAACGUGCCCGAUCGUGGGGGAUAACGAAGCGAAAGCUUUGCUAAUACCGCAUAAGAUCUACGGAUGAAAGCAGGGGACCGCAAGGCCUUGCGCGAACGGAGCGGCCGAUGGCAGAUUAGGUAGUUGGUGGGAUAAAAGCUUACCAAGCCGACGAUCUGUAGCUGGUCUGAGAGGACGACCAGCCACACUGGGACUGAGACACGGCCCAGACUCCUACGGGAGGCAGCAGUGGGGAAUUUUGGACAAUGGGCGAAAGCCUGAUCCAGCCAUGCCGCGUGAAGGAUGAAGGCCUUCGGGUUGUAAACUGCUUUUGUACGGAACGAAAAGACUCUGGUUAAUACCUGGGGUCCAUGACGGUACCGUAAGAAUAAGCACCGGCUAACUACGUG